rnacentral:lncRNA from 1 species
GCCCGGAGGUUUGCGCAGGCGCGGAAGGUUGUGGGGAACCCGCUCCCGGGCGCGUCGGUUUCUCGCGUUGCCGUGGAAACCACCGGCCAGCGAGGCUCGGGAGAGAAAGACGCGUCUGUUCAAGAUGGCGAAGGACCUGGACGAACUUCUGGAUGAAGUCGAGACCAAGUUCUGCAGACUCGACCCCUUGAGGCUGGACCUGGGUGAGCGGCCCAAAGGCGACGGCGGCGGCGGCUCGCACAGCGGCGACCGGAACGGAGCCCAGGAGAAAGAAACUCUCAGGUUAACGCAGGCGGGUGGACGGUUCUGCUACAGCCCUGCUCGGGGCGCCUAAGCCGGCCUCCGCCGCCGCGCGCCCCCGCGGCCUGGGCUACUGUCCUAGCCCUCGACGGCCCUCGGGUCACGGCUCAGACCCCGCCCCUGGGCGAGCCUGAGGGAGCUGAGACCCUACCUGACAGCCCUAACCUGACGUGGAUCGGGGUGUCCCUCCCCUGAGACACGACAGGGCCACGCUGACCAGACCCACAGCGUUCUCAUCGGCGAGGGGCCCUGACUGCAAAUGUCGUGCCUCUCACGCCGUUACCAGGCAACCCUUAGGGAACCGGUAGGCCAGCUGUUAGAAGACCAUUUUAUUGUCUGAUUUGUUUAAGCUCGAGGAGUUAGAUGAGAGUAUAUUUAAUUAUUAAGAGUAUCCAUUGCAAAUAUCUGAAUUAAAUAAAUUGCCCAGUUGCCUGCCAUUCCCCGUGUCUCCAAAGUUAAGGGACCCAGCAAAUGUCCUAUUAUAUCCAGGUCGAAGUUUAAAGACACUUAAAUCUUUGGGGAUUUGAACAACAACAAUAAAAAGCAGGCGUCGUUGCAUUAUCCUUUAAAGUGAGAUCUUAGGCUCAGUAAUAACUCCUGCUAGGACCUGCCGCUUGCCUAGACCAUUGGGGGAAAGGCUGGUGUUUCUUCCAUUAAUGUAUAAGGUAUUACUUUGCAGUGUUUGCUUUGUGUUUGGCUUGGUUUUGUUCCUUUGUGGUUGGAGAGAAUUUGUCAGGCCUUUUCAUCUUGGAACCAACAUAAAGAAGCUUAGACUGUCUCCACACUGAAAGGAUGGCCAUUUCUGUGGCUUCUCCCCAGCCAUGUGAUCUUUCCUGCCUGUGUCUGACUACCAGACUCCACCCACACCCUCCUCUCCCUGCCCCCACCUUAGCACAUUUAUAAUGCCUAAAGUGAAUCACAACUGUUAUCACUUGUGUUAAACUUUUUAUCAGGGACAAUGAUUAGAAGUUGUGCAAAAAACAACAGCAAAUACCCUAAGCCAAGUUUUAAAUACAGUUCCUUUCUGGUAUGGAAUGCCAUCACUGAAGUUUUACACUAAGCCAAAGGAAAUCAUUUGUGAGUUUAUGAACAGACCACCUGCUGGUUGCAUGGCUUAACUUACCAUCUCUAGAUGAUAGCUGUGAUAAUAAUUGCUAAUGUUUACUUCUCUCUGUGCUAAGUCCCCGAUAUGGGUUACCCCUAUCGCCCAAUGAGGUGAAUGGUGUUCUCUCUUCAUUCACCAAAUCUAGGUGGCCUGAUAGCGUUGGUCUAAGAAUGAGUUUGAGGCUCAGCUGGGUAAUUUAGUAAGACCAGGUUUCAACUAAAUAAUACUCAUCAUCAUCUUCUUAGUAAUUCAUCUGUCUCAAGGCCAGCCUGGUCUACAGAGUAAGUUCCAGGAUAGCCAAGGCUACACAGAGAAAUCCUGUCUCAAAAAGUAAACC